rnacentral:tRNA from 1 species
GUGGUGGGUAGCUCAGUGGUUAGAGCGCCUAAACCUUAUUCACCCCUUGCCUGAAAAGGCCGACGAAUUGAGGGUUAUCGCCUGCCAAGCGGGAGGUCGCGGGUUCGAUUCCCGCUCCACUACACCA